ensembl:lncRNA
AUGAGCACCUUCUAUUCUUAGACUCCAACACAACAUGACAUUUCUUCAAACCAAGGCAAUUGAAAUAUGAGACCGUAGAGUGAGUUUGACAUGAGGGGGAAAGUGCUUUCCGGAGAGAAAGGCAAAGAAAGAAUUAACAAGGAGUAUUGUGAUUUGGCUCAUGAGAACUAUAGCAUAUGAUACAGGUAGAUUAAAUUGUUAUUUUGGGGCACUUGGAAUUGAAGGUAAGUAGAUGCACCUUGAACCUUAGCAGCUGCUACAACUUUCAGUUGCAUAUGUAAAAGAUUUUAUCUGAAAUACCAACAUCUAAAUUGUCUAGUAAAAAUAUUUUUUUCUCCCAAAAACAUGCAAGUUUGCAAAACACAAUUUCAUAACUGGCACCUCGAUUUUCCAAAGAAUUAUGAAGACCCACUGUGCGAAGCCAAUCAACUGUGCCUUGACCUGCACAGCGGUGUUCCCAUGAGAGCAGUUCUCCAGUCUGGAGAACUCCAGCUUCCUGGAUCUGGAUCCUCCAGAUUCCUACAUCACCAGUGGAUCCACUCCACUUCACCUGCCAAGUUUUUUAGGCCACCAAAAUGAUCUCAAAUAAUUAGUAAAGUACUGCAAAAAUGCAGUGUGUUGCAUUAUAUAGCUAGAUUUUUGCGGGCUAUAUAGUCUUAUCAUGAGGCAGAUAGAAUUGAGACCAGCACCAUGACUGAUUUCAAUGAUAAGGAAGGGAUUUAAGACAAAUCUUUUUUAUAAUAUAUGUACAAACCUUUGAGAAACCAGACCUUCCCAGUUCUACUGACUCCAGCUAUGCCAUUCAUGUCUGUAAGCCUGCUGCCUCUUGAACUGACACUACACUGAAUAUCACUCAUGCAAUAAUUUGCAGACUUGUAUAAUAAGGUAUGUUUGAGGUAAAAAUUCACAGCCAGUGAGUUACUUACCAGAAUUUUUAGCAUAAUCACUCCAUCAGGCUGUUUUCUUCUUUCACUUGUCCAAUAAACCAAGCCUUAAAAAAACAAAGCAAAGCAAAGCAAAACAAAACAAAACCAAUUUUGAUUGUAUAUAAUGCAUAUUUGUGGUUUUUUUUUUUUUAGUGUUCUUUUGGCAAAGAAGUGAGGCAUGAGAAGAAACACAAAAGGCUACAUAAAAUCUGCUUCAGACAAGAAGAAAAUGGUAUGUGUUUUGUAAUUUUUGAGGAGGGGACGGUUCUAAUUGCAACAGAAAAAGUUCCCAUUAGACAUCAUUGUGGAAACAUCCUAACAUAAAUAGUAAAGCACUGGAAUACUUUGGACAGUCUAUGGAUUUUCAAUCAUCAGAAGCUGUAAGAAAUAAGUUUGCUAAACAUCUAUCAAAAAUUAUAAGUAUAUAAUUGAUUUUGCUGUGGGGCACAUGAGUACAUUUAUGAACUUUUGAAGCCUCCAACUUUGUAAUUCCAUGAAGCUUCUAUUUUUAAAACAUGCCUCAUUGUGUUCUGUCUUAGCAAGGAAAGUUUAUAGUAACACGGUUCAAUAUUAGAUCAGAUGUAAGAGAUACUGGGGAUGGAACUGAUUUCUCUGCUUGAACUGACAAGACAACUGUAAGCUACCCAUAAAGACAAAUCAAAUACAAGAUAUCAGUGCCACAGAAACAUGAUUGUUAUAAAUGAAUUACUGAAAAAGCAUCAGGACCUUUGCAGAAUAAGUGUGGCACUACUUUCAAAUAGAAGGUAGAUUUGAAAUACUCUUUAUGGUCUGGGCUCAAGCUCUUUGGUGUAUGUACAGUUAUGAAGGAAAAGGCUGUGGCUAGCUGUGAAAUAGGUGAGCUCCUGCAGACAUGGUCAGGAAGGUUAUUGAUUCAACAGCUGGUUCCUUUGUGUGAAGGUACCACACCUCCUGCAUAUCCUGAUUAACUGUUCCUCUGAUUGCUGUCUAUCCUGUGAUCUUUAAUUAUUUAUAUAAAAUAAAGCUGUGCUAUCUAGUAUUG